CUGUGGGCGUGGAAGCUCCUUGUCCUAGGGCUGGGUCUCUGCUGACAAAGCCGUGGAGGUAUCAUGAGACAGCCUGGAACUGCUGGGUUGCAAUAUCCCCGGUGUUCAGUAGGUGUCGCUGUAACACAGGAUGAACACGACCCAGUCCUGAAAUUCUUCCAGGUCCCUGUUCUCCAGCCUGCACACAGCCUACUCUUUAGAAAAGUCCCACAACCUUCAUGGGAUAUCUUCAAUCCAUGAGUGGAACAAGAAGUCACUCUCUCGUUUGCCGGUGAAUGAAAGCCCCCAGAUCAGAGGGGGCUCCUGUCCCACACAGCUCCUUGGAAAGUCAAGAGCUAUGGAUUCCCUGGAAUCUACCCUCAAAGCAAAUAAGGCCCUCAUCCCUCUGUUUCCGAAACAAGAAGCUGUAUUGUCCCUGGCUGCGGGUGCCAUUUUGUUUUCCUCAUAAACUGGGUAGUUCCAGGACAAAAGUGAUAUGGGGAGAAACAGACAUUUUCCAAACAGCACCUGCAUCAUCCGGUCUAAAAAUAAAUCCAGUAGGACUGGUUUUAGGAGAGAAGCCACUGCUAAAAAUAAUGCUUACACGUACGAUGACAUCAGCAGGUAACUGACCUGGGAACUGCAGGGCCCCAGCAUCUAACCGACAUCUUGAGCUCUGGUCUGCUUUGUGAGGUGAUCAAUCUGUCUUCACCCUCCACCCACCUGGCCUUCAUUUCAGGAGCCCAGGGCUGGGCCCGCUAAAUUCAAGGAAAGGGGCUGGCAGAACAGAGGGAAGCUCUGGAUUUAGAGCUUUCAUUAAAAAAUAAUAUGGACUUUCUAUUUCAAGAACAGAAUGUCUAAUAAUGCUGCUGAGGAGAAGCUCUCCAGGACCUGCUUUGAUGGUAAAUACAAAUGGUUGUAAUUAGCAUAUUAAUAGCGGUUUGAUUUCUAAGGCCGUAGGAAAGCAUCUCUCCAGCCUCUACAAUACUAUCUGCUUGGAGGUAAUUACCGAACAGAGACAGAGCACCAGAGGGCGGAAGCCUGCUCUCCCAGUUCUGCCUCCAACCAGCCUGCAGCCAAGUUUCUGGUCAAGAACACGGAGGCGUGGAGGCUGAUCCCCCCCCCACUCGCACCCAUUUUAGCCCUAACCUUUCCAUGGUCUGACGACCUGAUUCCCCAAAAGUGAAAACAGAGCAUUUCAGACCCCAAAGAACCCAAGUCCCAGCAGAGAGGGCCUCACACGAAUAAGGAUCGACGGUCUAUGAACGAGUCCCAGGACAACUUUGGCAACUCACAAGAGCAUCACUGAUUUUUAAAGAACGCUCCAAACCUGAUAUUCCCGGCAACCAGCCAGCACGCACCCCUGAGAGCUGAGAAGUGAAAAGCAAACUCAAGCCCCCAGGGCCGGGGUAGGGGUGGGGGUGUUGAGCCGGGAGGGUGGUACCAGGCAGGCUGCGGUUUCCAGGUCUCACACCUGCCCGCGAGCUGCACAGAACACCCCAUGCCCACCUUGGGGCUUGUGAGCACCACGCUGGGCUCUAAAUCACAGCCCAGGAUUCAGUGAAAAGCGGGCUCUGUGGCUCCUGCUCUAAUUGCUCUGGAGGGUGGAAGGUUGGGGAGCUGGAUUCGUUUGUACUCAAGAGUGGUUCUUGUCUUUUCAAAGGCGCUGAUGGGAUGGCAGGCAGGGGCCGCCUCAGGCAGCCUAAUUGCUGCAACUCUACACUCCAAUUAGACACCAAAUGAACGUGCUGAAUAAUCCAAAACAGACCAAGCUUCCGGGGACCACUCCAAAAGCAAGUUCCAGUCCAGAGGAAGCUUUUUCCUCUCCACUCAACUGCUGAUCCCUCUAACGCCUCAAACUGGAAGCAGCUCAGUCUACUGGAAGAGCCUCGAGGACAGAACGUUUGUCCUCCACUUGCAUAUGCCUAACACACAGUAGGCAGCCUCCCUCAGAAGCAGAGCUGGCCAGUGAGAUGAGGACAAGCUGUUAGGUUCAGCUUCCAGAAAAGCUCCUUCAAGGUCAUUGACUCAUUGAGAGAAAUGUGCAUUUUUCCUUUUCCUUCUAUUCUUUUUUUCUACUGCUUGGAACAAGAAUGUGAUGGCUGGAGCUGCAUCAGCCGUAGUAGGCCAUGAGGUAUCUGGUAGAGCAGAAAGAUAGAAGGAACCCGGGUCCUUGAUGACACAGAACUGCCAAUCCACGGCCUACUUCCAGACUUCAUUUACGUGAAGAAAAAAUGUGCUGUUCAAACCAUCCAGCCAGUAAUCAUGGGUAUCUAAUCCAUGGGAUACUUGCCUUACCACCAAAACUUCCCUUGCUAAAUCCUACCACUCAGUCAAGGCUGCCUCCUCUAGGAAGUUUUCUUGGAUUAUACCCGAGGGAGGGAAAAAUCACUUCUUUAUUUGACCAACUGCAGUACUUUGUCCUCUAGUAUAGCAAUUAAGAAUUUAUUAUCAGGAGCCAGACAGACCAGAGUGCAAAUCCAAGUUCUUCCACUCACUAGUCAUGUGACUUCGGGCAAAUCAUUUCACCUCUUUCAGACCCAGUUUCAUCUGCUGUCAGUUGGGAUGGAAACACUACCGUCUUCGGGAGCUUCCUGAGGCUUGGACCAUAAUAUAGGUAAAGCCCCUGGCAUUCCAUCAGCACACAAUAAACAUGACCCUAACUUUUGUAGCCAUCAGCCAUUUGUAAGCCACUGUUGUGAUUUUUUUUUUCACCACAACCUUUGCCAUAAUCUAUCAACUGCAACAGUUCCCAUUACUAUAGCACUGACUCGAUAUUUCUCUUUAACUUGGGUGUUAAUGGACUCUCCUCCUACCUGUUAAGCAAUUAUAUAUGGGAAAUUACUGCUGUUACUGUGUAUUUUUUAUGACAUACAUUUAAAAAAAUGCAUAACCACGGGGCAGCUGGGUGGCUCAGUCGGUUAAACAUCCGACUUCGGCUCAGGUCAUGAACUCGCUUUCGUGAGUUCAAGCCCCUCA